CAUGGGAAUUGUUGGCCUGGUUUUUCUUGGAGCUAUGGUCAUUGGAGCUGUGGUAACUAUCAAGAUGUGGAAGAAGAGCUCAGGUAGGGAAGUUUAUGGUCUGAGUCCUUGUUCCACUGGGAGGUUAAUGGGAAGUAGAAUCCACACACCCAUGCUUUCCCAGCCUGGAGCCCUAUUUGCUGAUAUUCUGUUAUAAAGCACAUGGAAAAUAAAGGACAGAUUUAUCACCCUGAUGAUGUGGUGAUAGAGGUCAGAGGAGAAGUUCCCUGAUGAGGACAGACUUCCAGGAAGGCAUUUGAUCUUCUCCCUGAAUGUCUCCUUUCUUCAUGUCUUCUGAUCCUUCCCUAGGUCUAUAGUCAUACCUUUGGAAAUUUCUCUGGGGUGGGGUCCAGAAUUAGAAGAUUCCUCUAGUUCUGGCCCUUCCUUCUCACAGGAUGUUUUCUUCUCACAGGUAGAAAAGGAGGGAGCUACUCUAAGGCCACCUGUAAGUAUGGAGAAGGGUGAUCCCUGAGACACUUGGAAGAGUAAAGGGGAGCUAAUGUGGGAGCUCAAGCACCCCAUAAUUCCUCCUGUAGCCACAUCUCCUAUUGACUCUGACCAAGUCCUGUUUUAUCCUACUCCAGACAGGCACAGUGCCCAGCAUUCUGACAAAUCCCUCUCAGCUUGUAAAGGUGAGAUCCUGGAAGGCCUGAAGUGAGGAGUGAGGGACUCAGGAUUUAAACACGUUGAAUGUUGGGGGUGGGAGGAUGUUCAAAGUACUCGCCACUUACAAUGACUAAUCUGAAUUUGUUCAUGAUUAUUUUCUUUAAUAGUGUGAGACAGUCACCUUGUGUGAUUUGUUCAGGUCUCCCCACCAUCUCUACUGGGAGAGAUGGCACCUGGCUUCUCUUUCUCAAUUGACAUCAGACUGUGUCCGUAAGUCUGUGUUCCUAUAAGCAUAGUGUGAAGAAAUGGGGAGACCAGCCCAUUCUUGAACACUGAGACCCCUUUUCACACUGACAUAUGGUCUCUUCCUUAUCAACCUUCCUGUUCCAGCAAAAACAGGGCUGGGAUGUCUCCAUCCCUGUCUUAACUUUAUGCUACACUGAGCUUCAACUUCUUACUUCCCUAUAAAAACAAGAAUCUGGUUAUGGAUUUAUAUUUCAAAUUCUUGCUAACAUAUGUUAUUACUGAGUUAAUAAAUGAAAGGAAGAUUUCUAAAACUUGAAAGAGAAAGUAUAAACUGAAACCUUCCAGAAUCUGUUGUUGCUGUGCUGAGUGUGUUGCAGGUGGGAACAAGAGAAGGCUGUGAAUAGCCAAGUGUGGACAGGGCAGUGACCAGUCUGUGGGCAAUUCAUCCUGUGCUUGGAUGUGGUCACUCCUCAUCUGGGUCAUCUUACCUGCUUUAUAUCUUUGUACAUUUAGAGGAAUCUUGUCCCACCAGAACCUGUGAUCACAAGGACUCAGACAUUGAAAAGGCUUUGUCCUUUCUCCAAGAUCAUGGGCAACAGGAGAAUUCUGAGGCUGUACAAGCCUAGGCUCUGGCCUGAGUCCAAACUUCAGUCCAUAUCCUUUUUAGUUUCUUAAUUCAUUUAUAGAACAUAUCUGUUCUUAUUCUUGUAUAUGAGUUCUGGCCUCAUCCUCCUCUCUGUGUCUCUGUCUCUGACAGCAGCAGGAACUAUUUUCCUGUCAUCGUCACACAAUGCCUAGGCUAGUCCCGGCACACAGGGUUCUCUGUGGUAUCCAGCAAUUAAUUUUCAGACAUGUCCAGCUCUUGUCCUCAUGCUAAGGUUAUUUCUUGGAUUGUAUUUUUAAGCAUUUCUCCAAUAUAUUUGGUACCAAGGAUUGAACCCAGGAGUGCUUAAUCCCUGAGUUACAUCCCUAGCCCUUUUUAUUUUUUAUUUUAAGACAGGGUCUCCCUAAGUUGCUUAGGGCUUUGCUGAGUUACUGAGGCUGCUCUCAAAUUUAUGAUCCUCCCACUUCAGGCUCCCAAGUCGCUUGGAUUACAGGCAUGCACCAUCAAGCCCAGCUUCUCCAAUAUUUUUAAAGGAACCAGAUUUAGAGAAUAGUGGAGAGGAAGGAUCCCAUGAUUUCUAAUAUUAGAUAAAUUCCUGUUAGGUUUUUGUCUCCUCUACUCACUUAUGUCCUCUCCCUGCCCUUAGCUCUAUGAAUCCUAGCUCUGGCUCAAAUUAAUACUCCUGGAUUUAUAUAGUAGAGUCUAAUAUAGAUUUUUAUUUGCUUGGCAAAUAGGAACCAUAAGUCAGGUCAGAGAGUGCAGAACUUCUAAGUCCAAGUGACCAUGACCUGAGUGUGAAAGGACUUUGUGCUGCAGAUGCUACAGAGCAUCAUUUGUCCUGCAUUUACAUUAAUAAAGGUAGUGUCUCUAGCUUUCUCUGGGACAGUCGUGCAGGCAGCGGCUACAAGAAGCUAGACACCAAGCAUCAUGUAUUACAAAUUUAGUGGAUUCACACAGAAAUUAACUGGAGCAUGGGCUCUGGAAGCCUAUAGCCCACAAGGAUUAAGGCCAGUGGUUUCCACAGAAGCACCACCUAUCAUAUUUGCCACACCGACUAAACUGACCUCUAGUCCCACUGGUUAUGAUUAUGCGAAGAAGAACAAGAGCUACAGAAGUUUUUCCAGAAAUCUGAUGGUGUGCCCAUCCACCUGAAACUAGGCCUUCCUGACCAAAUGCUGUACCAGACCACCAUGGGCCUGACUGUGGGAGGGACCAUCUACUGCCUGAUUGCCCUCUAUAUGGCUUCACAGCCCAAAAAACAAAGAAGUUAGGCUACAGAUGAUUGUUUUUUUGUUUUUGGGGUUUUUUUUUGUUUUGUUUUGUUUUGGCAUAAACCCUUUGAAAUUUCAUUGUUGGGCUGGGGAUGUGGCUCAAGCAGUAGCGCACUCGCCUGGCAUGCGUGCAGCCUGGGUUCGAUCCUCAGCACCACAUACCAACAAAGAUGUUGUGUCCGCCGAUAACUAAAAAAAUAAAAUAAAU
rnacentral:lncRNA from 1 species